UACGUAGGGACCAAGCGUUGUUCGGAUUUACUGGGCGUAAAGGGCGCGUAGGCGGCAAUUCAAGUCAUCUGUGAAAUCUCCGGGCUUAACCCGGAACGGUCAGAUGAUACUGCUUUGCUAGAGUGCGGAAGGGGCAAUCGGAAUUCUCGGUGUAGCGGUGAAAUGCGUAGAUAUCGAGAGGAACACCUGAGGUGAAGACGGGUUGCUGGGCCGACACUGACGCUGAGUGCGCGAAAGCCAGGGGAGCAAACGGG
rnacentral:rRNA from 1 species